GUGUUUUUCUCAUUCGCUCCCAACCCAAUGUGACGUUACCAAACUGUUGCCUCGGCGGGGUCACGCCCCGGGUGCGUCGCAGCCCCGGAACCAGGCGCCCGCCGGAGGAACCAACCAAACUCUUUCUGUAGUCCCCUCGCGGACGUAUUUCUUACAGCUCUGAGCAAAAAUUCAAAAUGAAUCAAAACUUUCAACAACGGAUCUCUUGGUUCUGGCAUCGAUGAAGAACGCAGCGAAAUGCGAUAAGUAAUGUGAAUUGCAGAAUUCAGUGAAUCAUCGAAUCUUUGAACGCACAUUGCGCCCGCCAGUAUUCUGGCGGGCAUGCCUGUCCGAGCGUCAUUUCAACCCUCGAACCCCUCCGGGGGAUCGGCGUUGGGGAUCGGGACCCCUCACACGGGUGCCGGCCCCUAAAUACAGUGGCGGUCUCGCCGCAGCCUCUCCUGCGCAGUAGUUUGCACAACUCGCACCGGGAGCGCGGCGCGUCCACGUCCGUAAAACACCCAACUUUCUGAAAUGUUGACCUCGGAUCAGGUAGGAAUACCCGCUGAACUUAAGCAUAUCAAUAAGGCGGGAGGAAA
rnacentral:rRNA from 1 species